AUAACGAUGAUAACCACCUCAUAUUCAUUCCCUGGCAAAUGUAUAUAAAAUGAGUUAGACAUCCAUACCAUCUUCUGAUUGGAACUGAGGUCC